ACGCUGGCGGCAGGCCUAACACAUGCAAGUCGAGCGGUAGAGAGAAGCUUGCUUCUCUUGAGAGCGGCGGACGGGUGAGUAAUGCCUAGGAAUCUGCCUGGUAGUGGGGGAUAACGCUCGGAAACGGACGCUAAUACCGCAUACGUCCUACGGGAGAAAGCAGGGGACCUUCGGGCCUUGCGCUAUCAGAUGAGCCUAGGUCGGAUUAGCUAGUUGGCGAGGUAAUGGCUCACCAAGGCGACGAUCCGUAACUGGUCUGAGAGGAUGAUCAGUCACACUGGAACUGAGACACGGUCCAGACUCCUACGGGAGGCAGCAGUGGGGAAUAUUGGACAAUGGGCGAAAGCCUGAUCCAGCCAUGCCGCGUGUGUGAAGAAGGUCUUCGGAUUGUAAAGCACUUUAAGUUGGGAGGAAGGGCAGUAAAUUAAUACUUUGCUGUUUUGACGUUACCGACAGAAUAAGCACCGGCUAACUCUGUGCCAGCAGCCGCGGUAAUACAGAGGGUGCAAGCGUUAAUCGGAAUUACUGGGCGUAAAGCGCGCGUAGGUGGUUCGUUAAGUUGGAUGUGAAAUCCCCGGGCUCAACCUGGGAACUGCAUUCAAAACUGUCGAGCUAGAGUAUGGUAGAGGGUGGUGGAAUUUCCUGUGUAGCGGUGAAAUGCGUAGAUAUAGGAAGGAACACCAGUGGCGAAGGCGACCACCUGGACUGAUACUGACACUGGGGUGCGAAAGCGUGGGGAGCAAAC
rnacentral:rRNA from 1 species